rnacentral:rRNA from 1 species
CGGAGGGGGCUAGCGUUGUUCGGAAUCAUUGGGCGUAAAGGGCGCGUAGGCGGCCGAUCAAGUCGGAGGUGAAAUCCCUCGGCUCAACUGAGGAAUUGCCUUCGAUACUGUUCGGCUUGAGUCCUGGAGAGGGUAGCGGAAUUCCCGGUGUAGCGGUGAAAUGCGUAGAGACUGGGAAGAACACCAGUGGCGAAGGCGGCUACCUGGACAGGUACUGACGCUGAAGCGCGAAAGCUAGGGGAGCAAACAGGAUUAGAUACCCUGGUAGUCCUAGCUGUAAACGAUGGGCACUUGGUGUUGCGGGUAUCGACCCCUGCAGUGCCGAAGCUAACGCAUUAAGUGCCCCGCCUGGGGAGUACGGUCGCAAGGCUG